GCGCCCGUGGCUCAGCCCGGAUAGAGCGGCGGUUUCCUAAACCGCAGGUCACAGGUUCGAAUCCUGUCGGGCGCG
rnacentral:tRNA from 1 species